GUCUGUUUUGUUUCAUAGCUUAUACUGGUCCUCUUGACAGAGCAAAAUCUAUGUACAUUCUAGUGAAUACUUAAUGUGGAUCCACAAAAUGGACCCCAUCACACAACUGAUUAUGUCUUUACCACUUCAACAGCAAUAUCAGAGAAGAUAUAUAAUAAAAACUUGACUAUCAAGGUGGUUAUGAUAUAAUUAGGCAUUAUAAUCUUUAUGAAAGAUUAUAAGAUAAUAUGUAUGACUUUUACACUUUCAUGGGGCUGAGUUGAAAUAUUUAAUAAAUGUAGAUUAUACGUAUUCAGCACUUUUUAUGUGGUCCACACUCUUACAUUUACUUUAAAUGUAAUAAUUCAUUUGUACCUACAGGCAAAUAGGCAAAUAAGGUUCUAAUUUCUUCCAGUUUUUCAAACAAGGCCAUUACGGAACUGAGAAGUUAAGCAACUUGUACAAGGUCACACAGCUAGUAGUAAAUAACAACAGUGGAAAAAAGAUAACACAGAAGUUGUGUGAACAUCAUGACAGAUCAAUUGACAGUGAAUAUGAAUGCUUUGGGCUUCCCAAGUGGCGCUAGAGGUAAAGAUCCCUCCUGCCAAUGCAGGAGACAUAAGAGAUGCAGGUUCAAUUCCUGAGUCAGGAAGAUUCCCUGGAGGAGGGAAUGGCAACCCACUGCAGUAUUCUUGCCUGAAGAAUCCCAUGGACAGAGGAGUCUGCUGGCUACCGUCUCUAGGGUUGCAAGGGUCAGACAGGACUGAAGCGACUUAGCACAUACCCACAAGAAUGCUUUACUCUGAUAAGCCAAAGACAGAAUCAGAAGAUAUUUUUUCACAGAAAAAUAAGAGAUUUUUAAACUACAAUACAGAAUUUUCCUUAUAAUUAAAAUGCCUACAAAUUCAAAUGUAUAAUCAAGUUUACACUAGUUUGUGGUUUAAGUUUUACACACAUUUCCUACAUUCACAAGCCCAGAUUCAUACCAAAUUAGCACAACACCAGGUAAUGGGGCUUCCCUGGUGGGCUCAGACUGUAAAUAGUCUGCCUACAAUGCAGGAGACCCAGAUUCGAAUCCUGUGCUGGGAAAGCCCCCUGGAGAAGCGAAUGGCAGCCCGCUCCAGUAUUCUUGCCUGGAAAAUCCCAUGGACAGAGAAGCCUGGUGGGCUGCAGUCUAUGUGGUCACAAAAAGUAGAACACAACUAAGCGACUAACACAGACACACACAGGCAGUGGAGAGGUAUCAUCAGUUCUAUAGUUACCUGUGUGGUGCGUGACCUGCCAAUACACUACACAAGUAUAAGUAUUUUCAGCCCAUGGAAAAUAUGGCAGGUUUUUAAAAACAUGUUCCAAACAAAAUCUGUCAUUGGUUCAAUCACUUUAAUAAGGGUAAUUUUCACAUACAAAACAAACACCCUAUUCUUCAACACCUGAACACAAGAACAGAUCCAUCUGUCAUCUUUAUCAUUUAGCUUCAGAUCAAUUGAUUAUUGACAGGCUAUGUCUGCUCUGGACAGUAUCAACAGAAAUAUUCAUCUCUAGUAGGAAACCAGUGCUCAGGCUUCUUUUCUGCACAAAGAGACCUUGUCCUUGUAUUUCACCAAGCUGAAAGCAGCUCCUAUUGAUUUCAGGUUGGACUGAAUUUGUUACAGUUUCUACAGCAGUGGCAGAAACUCUAUUUGGUGAUAUUAUUAAUGUAAAGGUGAAAGCAUAGAUUUGAAAAGGUGACUAUUAGAAAUGCUAUGAAUUUCAGGCAAAUCUGAUAAUUCUGACAUGUUUUUUUUUUGUUUGUUUUGCUAGACAGUUUUACAAAUUGGGUAAGGGGAUUAAGCAUUGAUUUAAUUAUCUAAUAAACAUCUAACAAAUACCAAAAAGAAAAUAUUUCUAACUUCAUUCUUAAAGUCAAACUGAUCCAAAUUUUGUCAUGUUAAAUGAAUACAAUGAUAUCAUAAUUAAAAUCAAUAUACACAUGUGUGUCCAUACAUAUGUAUAUAGGUUCAUUUACUGUAAUGUCCAGAAGAGUCAAAACAAUUAUAAACUCAAUGUAGUCCAAAUCACUAAACACUGCUAAGACAAGACAAGCCACUCUGUUUACUAUCACACAUUAUUUGCCUGAUGGACUUUUACAGACGUAUCUAGAAAUGUCCAGCGGGGCUUCCCAGGUGGCACCAUGGUAAAACCCGCCUACCAAAGCAGUAAACACAGGAGACCUGAAUUCUAUCCCCAAGUCAGGAAAAUCCCCUGGAAAAGGAAUGGCAGCCCACUCCAGUUUUCUUGCCUGGAAAAUUCCAUGGACAGAGGAGCCUGGUGGGCUACAGUCCAUGGGGUUGCAAAGAGUCACACACGGAUGUGCCUGAGGGACUGAGCACACGUGCUAGAAAUGCCUAACAUGCAUAUUCUCACCAUGGGCUGUUUUUGAGACGCUCCCUUUCAGCUGAACACUAUUUAACAGCUACAAAUUGGAGACCUAUAUUAAGACUUUAUCCAUUUUAAACCUAUGAGCCUGACAGUUGAUUUAAUUCCCAAUUUGAGAGUCAAGACACCUCUCUGCUACUAUCUUUCACAUUGCCUGCAUCUCAGUCACGUCUGACUGUUUGCGACCCCAUGGUAUGAGCCUACUAGGCUCAUGUCCAUGUCCAUGGAAUUUUCCAGGCAGAAAUACAGGAGUGGGUUGCCAUUUACUACCCAGGGGAUCUUCUGGACCCAGGGAUGCACCUUGUAUCGCUUGCACUGACAGACGGGUUCUUCACCACUGUGCCACCUGGGAAGUGCAGCUUUCAUGUCACUGUUACACAAAGGUUUCCAUGCAACAAAUUUCUGUACAAAUUCCUGAGCAGAUCUGAACUAUGUGUUUAUGUGUACCUAAAAUGACUGCUAUAAUGAUAUUCGAAGUUCAGUGAUGCUGUCAGCUAAGCCACUACUUCUUCAGGUUCUCAAAGUGAAUAAACUUCAAAAUGAAAUUUCUUCCCUGCUCCAUGUAAAUUUCCUCAUGAAGAAAUAGAAAAAUAGAGUGCUUGGUACCUAAAUAAGUAGAAGAAAUCAGAACAGCUUGAAAGCAUGCAUAGUGUCUUGCUUUUCCAACGUGAUUAUUUCUCCGACAAAAAGUAGCAAAUGUUGUACAUAAGUGCCUCUGCCAGUGGUUCAAAAUUGAGCCCCACACACUACACUGGCUUAACUAUUAGGCAUCUAAAUGGAGCAUGCGAAAAAGCCAUAGUGUGUGCAAUGCCUGGAUGGACAUGGUGGCUACUUGGAGCUGUUGAAUGUGAAGGGAGUCAACAGGGAUUUAUUGGACUCCCACAGAGUGGAAAACCGCAUAUUACCAAAGGGUUUGAGGUACAUUUUUAAAGAAGAAGAAAAGAGCUUGCUUUUUAGCUGUAAACAUGCAGGGUUCCAAAGGAGUGCUAAGAAGCUGUGAAAAUGGUCAUUAUGCAGCAGCUUCUGAAGGACUGCUCCUCCAGUUUCCUCCAAUUCGUCCUCAGAAGUCAUAAAUGCUGAAUGCUGGUAUGCUAUUAUGACAUAAUAAGAGAUGUAUAUGAGGUUCCUGGCACAGAGCUCCAAAACCCUUGUACUUUCCUGAGUGACAGGGUUGAGAGGAGUGUCCUUUGUUAUUCGUAACAAGUUCCUUUCAACCAUAUUUGAGUUUAUGUUAAUCAGGUGACUUUGGGAAAAUCCUUAAAGAUGAGGAGGCUGGGUGGCUGGCUGCCAGGAGAACCAAUCUUGGAAUCAGAAGGUUGGCACUUUCAGUUCCACUCUCAGACCUCUGGGGACAAGGGAGGGGCUAGAGAUUGAGUUCAAUCACCAAUGGCCCAGGAGUUAAUCAAUCAGUUAUACCUUAGUCAUUCAUGUCUAUGUAAUGAAAUCUCCAUAAAAACCCUAAACAUCAGGGUUUGGAGAGCCUCCAGGUGGGUGAACACUUGAGGUCCUAGGAGGGGGAUACACCUGGAGAAGGCAUGGAAACAUGGACCCACAUACCUAGUUCUAUACAUCUCUUCCAUUUGGCUGAUCUUGAGUUGUACCCUUUAUAAUAAACCAGAAAAGUAAGGAAACUCCCUGAGUCCUGAUUAAGAGUUGAUCAGUCACAAGUACAGAAGUUCCCGGAAUGUGCAAUUGGCCAUCUGAAGUUGGGUACUGUAUUAAGUGACUGAGCCCUUAACCCUUGGGAUCUACACUAACUCCUGGUGGUUAGUACCAGAAUUGAGUCCAAUUGUAGGACAUCCAGUUGAUGUAUACAGAAAAUUGGAUAAUUUCUUGGUGUGGAAAAACUCAUGCAUUUGGUGUCAGAAGUGUUGUAUGGGUAAAAAAUAGAUCUUAAGAGUUGAAGAGCGUUACAAGGUUUGUUGUCGCUGUUUAGUCACCAAGUUCUGUCCAAAUAUUUUGCAAACCUGUGGACUGGAGCCUGCCAGGCUUCUCUGUCCAUGGGAUUUCCCAGGCAAGAAUACUGGAGUGGGUUGCCAUUUCCUUCUCCAGGAGAUCUUCCCAACCCAGGGAAUGAACCCUUGUCUCCUGUAUUGACAGGUGGAUUCUUUACCACUGAGCCACCAGGGAAACUCAAUUAUAAAAUUAUCUAACACUUACCUACCAGACGUAUCUACCCAGGUGGUACAGUGAUAAAGAAUCUGCCUGUAAAGGCAAGAGAUGCAAGAGAAACAGGUUUGAUCCCUGGGUCAGGAAGACCCCUGUAUUCUUACAUGGAAAAUUAUAUAGACAGAAGCCUGGCAGGCUACAAUCCAUGAGGUCACAAAGAGUAGGACAUGACUGAGUGCAUACACACACAUAUGCUUCACUUUAUUCAACGGUCACCUUGUUGAAAGCAGGUUUGUUCAUAAAACAUCUCCAAAUGAAAAUUAAAAUAAUGUUUUAAAAAUUCCCUUACUUUCCAUAUAUAAUUGACCCUCACUUGGCAGGGGUUCCCUGGUGACUCAGACAGUAAAGAAUCUGCCUGCUAUGAAGGAGACAUGGGUUCAAUCCCUGGGUAGGGAAGAUACCCUGGGAAGGGAUUGACAACUCCAGUAUUUUUGCCUGGGAAAUCCCAUGGAUAGGUGAACCUGGAGGGCUAGAGUCCAUGGGGUCACAAAGAGUCAGAUAUGACUGAGCAACUAACACUUUCAGUUGGCAGAAAUGCCCAAGAUCCCCUUUAUUGUUCUCCCAAUUUGUUUUCAAGGUUUAACAAUUCUUAGUCAUUCCAGCUAGAGGAGGGGUUUACCAAACAAACUUGAAAUCCAUAAAUUUUGCAAGAAAAGUCAGGAGAAAUUCCAAGCAUAUUUGUGUUGCAGUCUUGGUUCAACAACUUUGAUUUAUUCUGAAGUGAAUUUUGAGGAAGAUUAUCACCGAUCUCUUAAUAUUGUUGUGAAAUCCCAUGGACAGAGCCUCCUGAUGGGCUAUAGUCCAUAGGGUCACAAAAGAGUCGGACAGGACUUAGUGACUAAACAACAUAUUUAUAUCACAUAACGUAUUUGAAUGGCCAAGCUCACCUAAUCAAUUUUCCUGAAAAUGAAAUUUUAAUACUAUAUUGGCUUGUUUUAUAAACAUAACCAUGUUUCCAACUAUUGUCAUGAAAGAGUUUUUCAUUAUCCAGGCUCCCAGAUAAAUCCUAAGAGAGAUUUGACAAGAUUAACCUGGAAUCUAAGUUACUUAAGUUUGAAUUUCAACUAAACCUCACUUAAGAUAUACAACCCUGAACAAAUUAGUUAACUUUCAUAUGCCUCAGUUUCC
rnacentral:lncRNA from 1 species